CCCAUCCUAGCUUCCUUAACAUGACAAGAGCAGAGCUGUUUGGGGAACUAGUACCAGAGUCCCUCUCCUGUUCGCUGCUCCCUUGUGCUGCUAAUUUCUACAUCUGCGAGAGCCAAAGAAUCCAGGUCCAGCAUACGGUAACAAUGCCAUCUCAAAUAUGUUUGGCAAACUUGAUGAAAAACAAUACAGCUUUUUUGUGUGGUUUGGAAACAGAAAACAUGAAUAAAUUUGUGUUAAAUAAAUGACACAGUGUGUAACUUAGCAUGCAGAGAUAUUUCUUUUUUAUCUUUGUUCAUUUCUUUUUCCUUUUUUUGAUAUACGAUGUUAUAAACCAACAGGAUGAAUGCUGCAUUCAGCGAAGAGGGCAAAACACUGGUCCCAACUUCUCUGUCUCCAUGUCAGCUCCUAAGAAUCAAAUUCCUUGGAGACCUAGUCAUGGACUUCCCUGGGCCUUUCCUACUGGUGGAUUACAGACACAUAGUCACCAAUGUUAGAUAAUACCAUUAUCAUGGUUACAGCUAAACAAGCACGCUGACCAUGAAGACAACUUUGGAUUGCAUGCAUAAUGUCAUGAAUUUUUAAGUCUUGUUCUCAAAUUUAUAGCAGCAUAAAAUUUGAACCACAGAAGAUGUUUAAAGUUUUAUUCCCAUAUUAUUGUAUUUGUUUCAAAGCUGGCCAUCUGGGAUUCUGCUCCUGCCUAGAAAUAACCUCCAUUUACCAAAUUCCAAGAUGAGACAUUU
rnacentral:lncRNA from 1 species